rnacentral:rRNA from 1 species
AUACGUAGGGGGCGAGCGUUGUCCGGAAUGAUUGGGCGUAAAGGGCGCGUAGGCGGCCCGGUAAGUCUGGAGUGAAAGUCCUGUUUUUAAGAUGGGGAUUGCUUUGGAUACUGUCGGGCUUGAGGGCCGGAGAGGUAAGUGGAAUUCCCAGUGUAGCGGUGAAAUGCGUAGAGAUUGGGAGGAACACCAGUGGCGAAGGCGACUUACUGGACUGUAACUGACGCUGAGGCGCGAAAGUGUGGGGAGCAAACAGGAUUAGAUACCCUGGUAGUCCACACUGUAAACGAUGAAUGCUAGGUGUAGGGGGUAUCGACCCCUUCUGUGCCGCAGUCAACACAAUAAGCAUUCCGCCUGGGGAGUACGGCCGCAAGGUUGAAACUCAAAUGAAUUGACGGGG